ACUUUACAAUGCUGGCAACAGCGAUAAGGGAACCUCGAGUGCCAGGUUACAAAUCUGGCUGUCGAGAUGCCUAAAAAGCAUUUCAUAGCAAGGGCCGGGCAAGACCGGUGCCAGCCGCCGCGGUAACACCGGCGGCUCGAGUGGUAACCGUUAUUAUUGGGUCCAAAGGGUCUGUAGCCGGCCGGAUAAGUCUCUUGGGAAAUCUGGCAGCUUAACUGUCGGGCUUUCAGGAGAUACUGUCUGGCUCGAGGCCGGGAGAGGUGGGAGGUACUUCAGGGGUAGGGGUGAAAUCUUGUAAUCCUUGGAGGACCACCAGUGGCGAAGGCGUCUCGCCGGAACGGACCUGACGGCAAG
rnacentral:rRNA from 1 species